UGUGAGGUUAAGCGACUAAGCGUACACGGUGGAUGCCCUGGCAGUCAGAGGCGAUGAAGGGCGUGCUAAUCUGCGAUAAGCGCCGGUAAGGUGAUAUGAACCGUUAUAACCGGCGAUACCCGAAUGGGGAAACCCAGUGUGAUUCGUCACACUAUCAUUAACUGAAUCCAUAGGUUAAUGAGGCGAACCGGGGGAACUGAAACAUCUAAGUACCCCGAGGAAAAGAAAUCAACCGAGAUUCCCCCAGUAGCGGCGAGCGAACGGGGAGGAGCCCAGAGCCUGAAUCAGCAUGUGUGUUAGUGGAAGCGUCUGGAAAGGCGCGCGAUACAGGGUGACAGCCCCGUACACAAAAGCGCAUGUGCUGUGAGCUCGAUGAGUAGGGCGGGACACGUGGUAUCCUGUCUGAAUAUGGGGGGACCAUCCUCCAAGGCUAAAUACUCCUGACUGACCGAUAGUGAACCAGUACCGUGAGGGAAAGGCGAAAAGAACCCCGGCGAGGGGAGUGAAAAAGAACCUGAAACCGUGUACGUACAAGCAGUGGGAGCCCCACCACCAAAGCAUUCUCUGGUGUUGAAGGCCCUGCAAAGCAGCAUCGCGGUGGCGGAGCGUCGUUUGCGACGCCCGACACACAAAACAAGCGGUGAGUGCUUUGGGGUGGGGUGACUGCGUACCUUUUGUAUAAUGGGUCAGCGACUUAUAUUCUGUAGCAAGGUUAACCGUAUAGGGGAGCCGGAGGGAAACCGAGUCUUAACUGGGCGUUAAGUUGCAGGGUAUAGACCCGAAACCCGGUGAUCUAGCCAUGGGCAGGUUGAAGGUUGGGUAACACUAACUGGAGGACCGAACCGACUAAUGUUGAAAAAUUAGCGGAUGACCUGUGGCUGGGGGUGAAAGGCCAAUCAAACCGGGAGAUAGCUGGUUCUCCCCGAAAGCUAUUUAGGUAGCGCCUCGUGAAUUCAUCUCCGGGGGUAGAGCACUGUUUCGGCUAGGGGGUCAUCCCGACUUACCAACCCGAUGCAAACUGCGAAUACCGGAGAAUGUUAUCACGGGAGACACACGGCGGGUGCUAACGUCCGUCGUGAAGAGGGAAACAACCCAGACCGCCAGCUAAGGUCCCAAAGUCAUGGUUAAGUGGGAAACGAUGUGGGAAGGCCCAGACAGCCAGGAUGUUGGCUUAGAAGCAGCCAUCAUUUAAAGAAAGCGUAAUAGCUCACUGGUCGAGUCGGCCUGCGCGGAAGAUGUAACGGGGCUAAACCAUGCACCGAAGCUGCGGCAGCGACACUGUGUGUUGUUGGGUAGGGGAGCGUUCUGUAAGCCUGUGAAGGUGGCCUGUGAGGGUUGCUGGAGGUAUCAGAAGUGCGAAUGCUGACAUAAGUAACGAUAAAGCGGGUGAAAAGCCCGCUCGCCGGAAGACCAAGGGUUCCUGUCCAACGUUAAUCGGGGCAGGGUGAGUCGACCCCUAAGGCGAGGCCGAAAGGCGUAGUCGAUGGGAAACGGGUUAAUAUUCCCGUACUUGGUGUUACUGCGAAGGGGGGACGGAGAAGGCUAUGUUGGCCGGGCGACGGUUGUCCCGGUUUAAGCGUGUAGGUGUGUGUUCCAGGUAAAUCCGGUUCACUUUAACACUGAGGCGUGACGACGAGGCACUACGGUGCUGAAGCAACAAAUGCCCUGCUUCCAGGAAAAGCCUCUAAGCAUCAGGUAACAUCAAAUCGUACCCCAAACCGACACAGGUGGUCAGGUAGAGAAUACCAAGGCGCUUGAGAGAACUCGGGUGAAGGAACUAGGCAAAAUGGUGCCGUAACUUCGGGAGAAGGCACGCUGACACGUAGGUGAAGUGAUUUACUCACGGAGCUGAAGUCAGUCGAAGAUACCAGCUGGCUGCAACUGUUUAUUAAAAACACAGCACUGUGCAAACACGAAAGUGGACGUAUACGGUGUGACGCCUGCCCGGUGCCGGAAGGUUAAUUGAUGGGGUCAGCGCAAGCGAAGCUCCUGAUCGAAGCCCCGGUAAACGGCGGCCGUAACUAUAACGGUCCUAAGGUAGCGAAAUUCCUUGUCGGGUAAGUUCCGACCUGCACGAAUGGCGUAAUGAUGGCCAGGCUGUCUCCACCCGAGACUCAGUGAAAUUGAACUCGCUGUGAAGAUGCAGUGUACCCGCGGCAAGACGGAAAGACCCCGUGAACCUUUACUAUAGCUUGACACUGAACAUUGAGCCUUGAUGUGUAGGAUAGGUGGGAGGCUUUGAAGCGUGGACGCCAGUCUGCGUGGAGCCGACCUUGAAAUACCACCCUUUAAUGUUUGAUGUUCUAACGUGGACCCGUGAUCCGGGUUGCGGACAGUGUCUGGUGGGUAGUUUGACUGGGGCGGUCUCCUCCUAAAGAGUAACGGAGGAGCACGAAGGUUGGCUAAUCCUGGUCGGACAUCAGGAGGUUAGUGCAAUGGCAUAAGCCAGCUUGACUGCGAGCGUGACGGCGCGAGCAGGUGCGAAAGCAGGUCAUAGUGAUCCGGUGGUUCUGAAUGGAAGGGCCAUCGCUCAACGGAUAAAAGGUACUCCGGGGAUAACAGGCUGAUACCGCCCAAGAGUUCAUAUCGACGGCGGUGUUUGGCACCUCGAUGUCGGCUCAUCACAUCCUGGGGCUGAAGUAGGUCCCAAGGGUAUGGCUGUUCGCCAUUUAAAGUGGUACGCGAGCUGGGUUUAGAACGUCGUGAGACAGUUCGGUCCCUAUCUGCCGUGGGCGCUGGAGAACUGAGGGGGGCUGCUCCUAGUACGAGAGGACCGGAGUGGACGCAUCACUGGUGUUCGGGUUGUCAUGCCAAUGGCACUGCCCGGUAGCUAAAUGCGGAAGAGAUAAGUGCUGAAAGCAUCUAAGCACGAAACUUGCCCCGAGAUGAGUUCUCCCUGAGACUUAAAGUCUCCUGAAGGAACGUUGAAGACGACGACGUUGAUAGGCCGGGUGUGUAAGCGCAGCGAUGCGUUGAGCUAACCGGUACUAAUGAACCGUGAGGCUUAACCUUAC
rnacentral:rRNA from 1 species